rnacentral:rRNA from 1 species
GAUGAACGCUGGCGGCGUGCUUAACACAUGCAAGUCGAACGGAAAGGCCCUGCUUUUGUGGGGCGCUCGAGUGGCGAACGGGUGAGUAACACGUGAGUAACCUGCCCUUGACUUUGGGAUAACUCCAGGAAACUGGGGCUAAUACCGGAUAGGAGCUCCUGCUGCAUGGUGGGGGUUGGAAAGUUUCGGCGGUUGGGGAUGGACUCGCGGCUUAUCAGCUUGUUGGUGGGGUAGUGGCUUACCAAGGCUUUGACGGGUAGCCGGCCUGAGAGGGUUACCGGCCACAUUGGGACUGAGAUACGGCCCAGACUCCUACGGGAGGCAGCAGUGGAGAAUAUUGCACAAUGGGCGGAAGCCUGAUGCAACAACGCCGCGUGCGGGAUGACGGCCUUCGGGUUGUAAACCGAUUUCGCCUGUGACGAAGAGUGAGUGACGGUAAUGGGUAAAGAAGCACCGGCUAACUACGUG